rnacentral:lncRNA from 1 species
UUUUUUUUUUUUUUUGUCUUUUGUCUUUUUAGGGCUGCACCGGCAGUAUAGGGAGGUUCCCAGGUUGGGGGUCUAAUUGGAACUACAGGCACUGGCCUACGCCAGAGCCACAGCAAUGUGAGAUCCGAGCUGCGUCUGUGACCUAUACCACAGCUCACGAUAAUGCCAGAUCCUUAACCCACUGAGCAAGGCCAGGGAUCGAACCUGAAACCUCAAGGUUCCUAUGUUUCCGCUGCACCACGAUGGGAACUCCUCUUUUUUUCUUCUUUUAGAUAUGAAAAUAAAUAUUUAUUUAGAAUGAGAAAUCACAGGUUAUGAAUUUUAUUUAUUUAUUUAUUUAUUUAUUUAUUUAGCUGCACCUGCAGCGUAUGAAAGUUUCUGGGUCAAGGAUCAUAAUCAGAGCCACAGCUGUACCCUAGGCCACAACUGUGGCAAUGCCGGAGCCUUAACCCACUGUGCCACAGCAGGAACUCCAUAACGGGGAGUUCCUGCUGUGGCACAGCAGAACCAAAUCCGACUAGGACCCAUGAGGUUGCGAUCUCUAGCCUUGCUCAGUGGGUUAAGGGUCCAGGGUUGCUGUGAGCCGUGGUGUAGUUUGCAGAAGCGGAUCCCGAGUUGCUGUGGCUGUGGCCUAGGGCAGCAGCUAUGCCUCCAAUUAAACCCCCAGCCUGGAACCUCCACAUGCUGUGGGUGUGGCCCUAAAAAGACAAACAAACAAACAAACAAAUAAAUAAAAUGCGUAACAAAAUCCCAAAUUCUCACCAAGUCCUGAAAAAUAACAUUAUUUUUUUAUUAAAUAACUUCCUGAUGCACUUACAUCAUUGCUACAUUUGGGGUUGCAUUCUCUUUGCCUCUUCAAAUGACAAUAAAUCAUCAAUUUCAGUCCUAGAGACAGGAUCGGGUGUAGUCACUGUUAGAAAUGCCUACAGAUGCCCGAGGGCCCCGGCGCUGCAAAAUCCCAUCAUCCACAGUCAUAUUAGGGAACUCCUUUCGGAGGCAGUCUCUCCCUCUGCUACCACUGGGAGAUAGAAGAAAGUCAGCACAAAGUUUUACAAAUACACCAGUGCUCCCAGCAAUGUGUUAAUGCCUUGGAGAAGGAAGUGUCCUUUAAGCUAACCAAGGUGAUGGGGUUUGGAAGUAGAUGACUGGUUCUGCGUGAUAAAUCUACUCUAAGCUUAUCAUCCUCUGAUCUUCCCAACUUCCCUAUACCAGCGUUUCUCAACUUGGCACUACUGGUAUUUUGGACCAAAUAAUAAUUCUUUGUUGUGAGGGGCUGUCACGUGCCACGUGGGAUGUUUAACAUCAUCCCCGGCCUCUACUCACUAGAGUCCAGACGUUCCUCCCUCCAAGUGAUGACAAUGAAGAAAUGUCUCCAGACACUGACAAUUUUCCAAUGGAAAAGGAGGGGGGCAUAAUUUUUCCCAGCUAAAUAAUAUUGCUCUAUGCUACUGAAGGAAAUUGCGGUUGAGUCCAGAUUUCAGACAAAGAAAACAGACUGCGCUGUUAAAAACAUCUGGCUAUUUAACACUGAAUUCACAGUUUUGAGUAAAUAUAGGUAUUUCAAAAAUCUGACUUGAUACAAUGUUAUCUGUUCUUGCCUCAUCUGGAAGCUUUGGAGUUCAUUCCUACCAUACUCCUCAGAUGUCUCUUGAUAAAGCCUGGCAGAAGCUUUUAAUUAUUUCAGCUUGUAACUGAUCUCCUCUUGGUUUAGACUUGCACUCAAGGUCUUAGAUUUGCUGGUAUCUGACUCUAGUUAUGGGGUCCAGAGGCAUGCAGCCUGCCAAAGGCAGGUCUUGAAAAAUAUCAGCACCCUUUGCAAGGUAACUGCCUCUGGUGAUGGGGACGAGAUAUUUUCUUCACACUAAAUAGCCCCAUCGCCUCACAUUUUUCAUACUUCUUGCAGUUUCAGGGGGCCAUGUGUCUAGUUCGUGUAAACAUGCUGUGAACAGAAAUAAUAUGUGUCACUUUUAGGCUGAGGGAUUUGAGAACUGGUUUGGGACGCUCCCUUUCUUUCUUCCUCAGCAACAGCUACAUGUCCUCCAUCAGUUCGCCUGCAAGAUGGAUGCUCUUAAGCCAAUCUGGGUCCACGAGCAUCUGCAUGGAACAAAGUCCCCGACUAUCUUCACUGAGCAUGUAGCACAGAAGAGAAAUACACUCUUGUUAUGUUAAGUCACCGAGGUUUUGUGGUUGUUGCUACUGCUUCAUAGCCCACCCUGUUCUUGUUAAUCAAGUGGAGUCAUUAGGGAGUUUUCAAUUAUGGGCAUGGUGUAGCCUAAUCAUAUAGGGAAAGUGCCAGCUUCUGCUGUCAGAGGAGGUUUAGUAGGCAGUUCCUUCCUGGAAACUGAAGUUGAUAAUUUAAGCAAAUGCUUUGCCACUUGUGUGCCAGGGACGAUCAAUGCUCACGUUUCUGCUGCCAAUGAAGUCAUUAUUGCCUUCAGAUCUAACCGGGUUAGAUAAACAAUCCCAGGUGAUUCCAAUUAAUGCUCUUCUUCCUGGAAUCCUUUCAAAUACCAAAUACUUUUGAUCAGGAAAUAUAAGCCUCAUUUGAGGGACCCUGCUGGCAAAGAAUUCUGAGGAAAAAUCACUCACAGUUUUCUGGAAUCUUUAGAUCAGAGAUGGUAUUGACUUGCAAAAAGAAAAUCCAGCACUUGAUGGGUAUUUCUCUGUAAUUUCUAUGCUAAACUUAUGCUGAGUACCUGUUGUCUAUUUUUCUGUAUCUACUAAUGGGAGAACCACUCUGGAAAUCUUAUUAGCUGUGAGUAAAUUUCAGCUAUUAAAUGCUUGCUGUGCAUGAUGAAAAUGAUUGAUAAGGAAAACAGCUUACACCUAGGGGUAUAGCUAUCUUAUACCAGGUACUUCUCCAGGAUAAUGAACUUGCCUUAUUCAACUCUGAGUUUAUAGUACAGUGAAGAGUGCCUGGAAUAUAAUGUGUUCAGUAAAAUUUAUUAAAUGACUUAGUCAGUGUGCAUUUCAGCAUCUUAAAAAUGUAUAUCGAGAGACUACUAUGGGCCUGCUCUGGGCUAUAAUUUAAGGAACAAGGAUAACCCCUAGAAACUUACAGAAAGGAAGUAAGUGUGUGGGGGGAAUUUAUAAGUGCAAAUUCUGAAUGCAUGUGUACAAGGAGUUAUACAAACACAGAAGAAUCCCAAACAAUGGUAUCUUAUUAGUGUCUCAAAAUAUUGGCAUGGAUUUGGGGGAUGAAGUGGGAUGGGAAGGGAGGGUAUUGUUCCAGGAAAAUGAAACAGCGUGAUGCUCUAGAAACUGCCUGCAUUCAGAACUAUUGGAGGAUAAUGUGGGAAGUUGAAAAUGGCAAGAAGCCAAGCCACUGAAGCUUGCGUAGAUGUUUCUGACAUGAUUAUAGCUCAGUGUACUGGUCCAUGCUUCCCAGCUGUUUUUAACUGUACGGCUCCCUUUUUACCACAUGAUACAAUCCAACCUAGAAUACCAAUUACAUAAACAAGUAGAAGUAAAAUUAUAUAUAUUUUUUCCUUUUACAGCAGCACCUAUGGCAUAUGGAAGUUCCCAGGCUAGGGGUCGAAUUGGAGCUUCAGGGGCACGACUAUGCCACAGCCACAGCAACAUGGGAUUCAACCUGCAUGUGUGACUUAUGCCGCAGCUUGCGGCAAUGCCAUAUCCUUCACCUACUAAGCAAGGCCAGGGAUCAAACCCACAUCCUGAGGAGCACUAUGGUGGGUUCUUAACCCACUGACUGAACCACAAUGGGAACUCCCUGUUAUUAGUAUAUUUUCAGUUUCAACCUUUAUGUAAUACAAAAAUGACAUAACUCUUUAAUAUAUACAUUAAUUAAUAUUACAUCAAUAUUAAUGUAAUAACAUUAAUGUAAUUAACGUAAUUAAUAUUACAUUAAUAUAAUAAUGCAUAUUUUCAUCAAAUAUAAACUUUGAUACAAGAAAUCAUUUAUAAAGUAUUUGAUUAUGCAUUCUUAUGACAGUUUAAAACAUUUUCAUUUAUGAAUAUGUGAAUGUGUGUAUUCAAUUCAACCGUUUGAAAAUUCACUUCUUUGAAAUAAUGGUUUGAAAAAUUCUACUCUAGAUGCUACACAGUCAUUUGAGAGUUCUUUGGAAACAAAAAAGACCAAGUUGAUCAGUUGUCAUUUCAGGUAGAAUACAUCCAGUGUGGAGGGCGACUGGAGAUACGAGGCACUGAGUCUGGUAGAAAGACAUGAUGCUCAUUAAAUGUCCAUGUACGCCCCUCGUUUCCUGGCUUCCCUUUUACUUAGGUUAGGAUCUUUGACUGUACCUAGUUCUGGCCAACUCUAAAUCAUUUCGUGGCUCCAUUCUAUGUUUUUCUUUUCUUCCCCUCUGGGUACCACUGUUGGGGCACUGUUCCUUCAGGUUGGAAGCAGCUUGAAUUGCUGUCCUGAUACAAAGGAUGGCUGCAACAGAGAAUCAACUCUCUCCCAAUGGACUUCCUAUGUGAGCGAAAUGAAUCUGUAAUCUGGUAUGCCACUCAGAUUUCAGACUUGGUUUCUUACCCAGCGUAGUCUGGAACCAGCUGACUCAGAGAGUCUAGUCAAAAGAUAAUGAGGGAUGCAGAGUUCCUGUCGUGGCUCAGUGGUUAGUGAACCUGGCUAGCAUCCAUGAGGAUGUGGGUUUGAUCCCUGGGCCUGCUCAGUGGGUUAAGGGUAUGGCAUUGCCGUAAGCUGUGGUGUAGGUUGCAGACGAGGCUCGGAUCCCAUGUUGCUGUGGUGGUGGUGUAGGCCAGCGGCUACAGCUCUGAUUGGACCCCUAGCCUGGGAACCCCCAAAUUCUGUGGGUGCAGACCUAAAAAAGACAAAUCACCAAAAACAAACAAACAAAAAAGAUAAUGAGGGAUGCAAAGCAGUGAUGAAAUAGAGAGGAGAAAUUAGGAAAAAAAUUGUAGAAUUGGCAGCUGUUGUAACUGAUUUAAUUCUGGAAUUUGGAGAAGUCUGGCAACCAAUGACUCUAGAUGUUUGGCUUGAACAAACUGCAUGUGAGCUGAGAUAGUCAUAAUCAAAAUACAGAAGUAGAACAUGGCACCAGAUGAGAUUAUUAAAUGUCCAUGUAAGCACUGGUGAAAGUACUUUUCGUAGCUCCAGCUGCAUAACUCAAUAAAUAAUUUUUUUACAAUUCAUAUCAUUCUAUGUGCCAUAUAAAACAUUUAGCAAAGGAUUCAUUUUCAUACACCUUUUAAAAAUUAUUAUAAAACUAAUAAUUGUUCUUCUUUGAAAAUGGGAGCAUAUGGAAAAACAGGGGAAAAGUCACUUAUAAUACCAACACUGUCAAUCAAGUUUCUGGAUCUUUAAACAAGCUCAAGAAUUUCACCCACCAAGCACUCAGUAGCUGCUUAAGGGUGGCCCAGACAAACUUUGCAUUGUGGUUCGGCAAGCAUUCUGGACCCUACUUGCUUGUUUGUGAUCCGCUUGCUCUCAUUAUGUUUCACAAAAUCAGGAGCUGGAGAAUGGGCCCAUUCAAAACAAGAAAUGGGCCAGUUGGGGAGGACACCUUGGUCUAAUCAGUGUUCGUGGGACCAGGGACUCCAGCUUGGGCCAAGCCUGCAAGGCCUGCUCACUGCCUGGGGAGGUAUGUAUAAUCAGGGAGAGCCCCUAUUUUUGUUUUUGUUUUAAUUCUUCUUAGUACUGAUGUUAUGAACACUUCUGUAUCUAGGGCUUUGUUGUAGUUAAGAUGUUUUUUGGGAGGUGGGGAGAAAUGCCUAGUGGAAUUCAUUCAGAAUAAAGGCUGCUGAAUAAAUUUUGCAGAUUCUUUCCAGAAGUGAUCUGAUCAUUGCUAUGCCAAAGUCAGUGAUUAGACUCCCCUCUUCAUAUCACAAGGAGUCCAAUAAAAGCAAAAAUUGACCUCACAUAUCAUACUCCCGUAAUGCAAAUCGAUCCAUGUUGCCCGUGCUAAAAGGAACUUCACUAGUCUAGGGUGAUGUCUUCUGACACGGGGACUAUGUCCUUCUCCAUCCCUCUUCUUGACAGUAGAUUGGAUGUUGUAAGUAAAAUAAUACCACUGGUAGGAAGCUCAUUUCACAGCAGGGCUCAAGGCCAACCUACACGCUUGUGAUGCCAUUUCUAGUGGCCCUCUGUUCAUAUACUUACUUCUUUCUCGCUUCUCUUCAACCGACUAGGGGUUCGUACUAGAUUUUUGAAAAAUAUUUUGUCACUAGAGGGAAAGAUAAAUUUUUAAUGUGUAAAAAUAAAGUAGUAACAUGAACCUUUAAUCACUUUUUCAUUCAUUCAUUACAACCACAACAUGUUAACAAAGGAAGGGGCUCAUCAUGAUCAUGUUUGGUGAUUUUUAUUGAAGAAAUAACUACAUUACUUAAUCUUUUAGUCACACAUAUGGCCUGGCAAUGAUACCUGGUUGAAUCCCAUUUUACAUUAAUUCAUACAUUAGUUUUUGAUAAAGAUUACUAAGACUUAAUUUUCUUAAAUGAGGGUAGAGAUGAUUUUUUUCUGCUUUACAAGAGGUAAUUGGGACAACUGGUAAAAUUUAAAUAAGGUCUGAAAAUUCAAUAAUAGUAUUGAAUAAUAGGCUAAUAUUCUAAUUUUGGAAAUUAUACUAGUUAUAUAAGGGGUAAGGGGAUAUCAUGACUGCACCUUAUGACUACAUGGUUCAGAAAAGGGUAAUUUGUAUAUAUGUGCAUCUAUAUCAUAUAUAUGUGUAUGUAUAUCUUUAUCUCUCUGUCUUUCUACAGAGAGAGAGGUGAAGCACAUAUGGCAAAAUGUUAACAGCUGGGGAUCUGGGUGAAAGAUAGACAGGAGUUUUUUAUACUAUUCUUGCAACUUUUCUGUAAAUCUGAAAUUAUUUUAAACUGAAAAUUACAAAAGCAAAUAAUAAAUGGAUCAGAAAAAUCUCUCCCACACUACAGGUUAGGGGUCGAAUAGGAGCUACAUCUGCCGGCCUACGCCACAGCCACAACAACGCUGGAUCCAAGUGGUGUCUACGACCUACAUCACAGGUCAUGGCAGUGCCGGAUCCCCAGAUCCUUAACCCAUUGAGUGAGGCCAGGGAUCAAGCCCACAUCCUCAUGGAUCCUAGUAGGGUUCCUUAGGCUACAGUAUUGAGUUGGUACUGAGCCACGAAGGGAACUCCGUCCUCUACCCAUUUUUUUUUUCUUUUUUUGUAAUUUUAAUGGUAGUGUUUCUUUAAUAAUCUUAAUAGAAAGGACAGAUGAUCGUUUGCGGAUCAGGGGUUUUAUUUAUAAAUUAUGUGGUAUCAUGGUUACAGGAGCAUCAGUAAAAAUCUUUUAAAUGGGAUGUGGCAAAGAUAAGCUAAAAUUAAUUGUCCUUUCAUUUAGAAUCAGUGCUCUGCAAACUAAUUAUGCAUUCAAAAUUAUUUGAAUGCAUAUCAUAAUGAAUAUUACUAUGAAUCUGAAUGCAAAUCAUUGUUCAACUCAGUAUAAUGAUGAUAUUCAUUGAAAGUCUGAAGAUCCCAAGAUGUUAAUUUUCUUAUUAAUUUGCACGUGCAAUUUAUAUCAAACAUAUAUAUUAAUAGUCGUGUUUAUGUAGGCUUCAUUGAGUUUGAUGAAAUGAGAAAU